UUCUAGAGAACCAUCAUACGUCUUCAACUUCAAUUCCGGCAGUUUUAUAUUCAAUUUUGUAUUUUUACUACUAUUCGAAAGAACUUCUUCUUUUGCCUGAUCUCGCAACAUGCAGAUCUUCUGCUCCAUGCUGAAUCUCUCCUGAAUAUAUUUCUCGCAAUCCUCAUAUUCCCGAUCAAUCUCUUCAUCCGUAAUAUUCUCUUGGGCCAACAAAACCAGCUGGCAUUGCUCAUUCAAAGCCACAAGUUCUAUAUGUAGAGAUUCGAGCCUCUUAUAUUUUGCAUAAAUAUUUUCUUUAUUAAUAGAAGACUUUUGAACUCGGCCUUCAACUCAGUGACCGUCUUGGUAAAGAUUCCCCGUACAGCUCUUCUACGUUUCUUGUUCGUCUCCUCCAUCUUAUCACCAAGCCUAUCACGUCCGGCUCACCAGAAAUGUAAAAAAGAAGUCAAAUUUAGGUAUUAAAUAAUAUGUAAAUGAAUAAUUUAAAUAAGACUUUUCCUUUUCUAACUAUUGUAAUAUAGCGAUAGGCCGGCGUUACCCUGGAGAGAAAUGAUCAGCCGUACUUGAUGAUUAAAAAAUUAUGAGGCUUUAUUACACAAAGUUAUAAUGAGAUAUAAGAUGAACCAAUUUUGGUCUAAUCAAUCCAGAACUAUCAGGUUAGGCCUGAUUCAGCUUCUUUUGCCUCAGUGGACUUUAUCUUCUCUUAUACUUCUUCUUUAUCUUCAGGCUUCCCUUGGACCUCUCUUGCCUUUUCACUUGAGCUCGAGCUCCUAGAUUCGCUCUCUCAAUCUGCAGCCUCUCACUCUCCCCGCGCGCGCCUCAUACUUUUUUUUCUCUGUGGCGCAUCCCUUUGCGCGCGCCAUCUAGAGCCGUCUUCCCGAAUCAUUUCCUACAAGACAAUUAUCAGUAAGAUUUUCUAUUGUAUGCGAAGUGGAUGGAUCUAUUUGUACAUCAGAGAGGAAGGUACUAACACUGUCUUUAAUCAACUUGUGGAGAAGGCUUGAAAACAACAGGACGACGUCAUAUGAACACAUUAUGUUGUUGGGAUCAGGUGAUAAUUUCCUCAAGUCUUCAAUGAAAUCUUGGGUGUUGUGUACUGAAAAAUUGUGGUUAUAUUGCUUUAGUAAUGGAGAGAAAAAGUUAGAUAAAUAUUUGGCUAACAGAGCUGUUGGUGAUUUGUGGUAGACUACAAUAGGGCCUAGUGGGAUAUAGGGCUUGUGUACUUUGGGCAAUCCCUAUAUGUAGGCAUCCGUAGUAAGGCUUGAUAUAAACAGUUUGUAAUCCUUAGAUGUAAUGUUCCAGUUUCUUUUUUAGAAUUAUUGUAAGUUUGAAGUUUAUCUGCUUCUAUUAUGAGAACUAAGAUGGGGAUAUCAGAGAAAAUUCCAUCAUUUUGGAUCUGUAUAAUAAGAUAUCCAUGAUGACUCUGUGAGUCUUUAUCGAAGUUAGAGAUAAUAAGGCCUUUUUGAUUCUUCAAUCUUUGUAUGGUAGUUUUUUUUUUUUUUUUUUGCAAGAGCCAUGUAUGCUGGGGUGUCUGUUUCAUGAGUAAUGUGGAUACUUGAUGUCUGAUGUUACUCUUUUCUUGGUGUCUGAGGUCAUUGAUAGAAACUUCAACCCUGCUGAUCAUUUUGAAGAUAUUCGGAUUGGAUCCGUUCUUAUAGUUCAGGCCCUUGGAGAGCAAUGAAAUCUCUGCCUGUGAGAGUUCCGAGCUGGAAAGGCUCAAAAUUCGAGAAUGUUCAUCCAUUGGAUUAUGAAGUGAGAGAGAAACCAUAUUUUUUGACCAGAAAAAAAAGGUAUUAUUAUGUUUCUUCUUAAGCAAAGAAUCUCCUAAGAUCAAAUUUCUGAUGUGAUGCAUAUUAUCAGAGAGGUAAGGUCAUGGAUUAGGACAGGAAUCUUAUGUAGCAUCCCUGGUAUCUAGAACGGAGAAGUUGGCGGCAGGUAUUGUGGAUGAUCUAUGCGGAGAAAGGGUUCUGGACUGGAUCUUUGAUGUGUAGGGAUGGUUCAAACAUCGGCAGUUAAAAUGUAGGUGGCAUCACCAUCUGGCUAAUGGCAAAGAUGACUUAUGGAUUUGAUGCAUAUAUGUCUCUAUUUUCUGAUUCGAAAGAUUCAUAUCACAAAAAUAAUAAUGCGAGAACUUGUUAAUAAUAUAAAAUCCCUUCAGUAAAAUUAUAAAUAAAAGAAAAUUCACUGAGGGAAAAGUUUCAUUUUUAAUCACGAUAAUACAAGCUAUCCUUAUAUAUCUAUAUCAAUUGAUUUAAAUCUCCUGGACACAAAUGACCAAAAAGGUUUGUGGAGAUGGGUUUCUUUUUAUUUUAUUAAAGCAGUCUCAAGCUUUCAGGUAUUUCUGUCCUUAUCUGGGAGAACUUCUUCUUUCUUAUCUCCACUCAAUCAUAUUAGGGUAUCAAGCUUAUAAAGCUUGAGACAUUUGAUGCUGUCUGCCGGGGAAGAGUAUAGCUCAUCAAUGGAUGAGUCAAUACAGUCAAUAAUAUUAUAAAGAAAAUAAAGUCUCUCUAGGGCUAAGUUUCUUGUUCAAAUUUUAUUAUCUAGCUUUCAGACCUGUCAGUCCUUCCACAGGAGUAUCUCGAUAAUAAAUAUAUAUAUACUAUUUUUAUACAAAAUAAUUUUUGCAUAUUUAAUUUUAUUAAGUUUUAAUUUAACAAAUAAUAAUAAUAGAUAGAAUAUUUACAUAUUAUAUUACAUAAUAGAAUGCUUACAUAUUUAACUAUUAAUGAUAUUGAAAGGGGGAGAAAAUAUAUAUUGCCUUCUUUGUGUGUUAUAAACCAUUUUUUGUAAUUAUGAGUGCAUGGGUGGAGGCCACGCGCUGGUCGAAUGAUAUCACGUGAUCUCAAAUUAAACCUAUUAAAUUCGUGAACUGUUAUGGUGUAUAUAGUAUUUUAAAUCUAAGGGGUAGUGUGUGUUUGUUAAUAUUGUUUCAUAUGUUUCUGAUAUUUCUAUGCAUCUGUUUAUGCUUUUUUGUUGUUUGGUUAUCAUAGAUUCUAUUAAGAGUCUUUGGUAUUUACUAUGGAUAUUGUCAUAAUGCACUAUGGGUUGGGAUAAGUUAAAUGUGUGGCCUGUUUCUUUUAUGUGUUGAACUAUUAAAGAUCUUGGGUCACUAUUGAUAAUAUUCCUAUUAUGUUCAGCUAUUCUAUUAUGACCUUUUCUCCCAGUCUCCCCUACAUAUUUAGAACUACAGUUAUUACAUGAUAUGGAGUAUAUGGCUUAUUUUCUAUUGAAUGGAGUAUUGGAUUGAUUCUUUGUUAAUGGGUUUCUAAUCAUAUUACCUAAAUUUGGAGAAUUAUUGUACAUAGUUUUGAUACCAUAUAUUCUAAGUGUUCUAGCUAUGGAUACUGAUUGAAGGGAAUAUUGAAUGAUGCAUAAUGCUUUAUAAAUUUCUGCUUUUUAAAUUAUUGAUUUGGUGUUUUCUGCAGUCUGAUAAAAAUGUCGUAGGAUGAAGGAUUUUGGGUAACCUGAUGAUAAUAGAUUUUUAAUAAUAUUUUGUGUUUCUUCUGUUUUUAAUUGAGGUAAAGAACAAUGUGUGAAUACUCUUUCAGAUAAUGUUUUUAUAGUAUUGAUCUUAUGGCUAAGAGGGCAGAAUGAAGAGUAUCUAAUGUAGUUUGGGAUAAAGGAUGGCUUAUAAUAUACACCUGUAUUUAAUUUAUCUUCUAUCCUCAUGAUUUUAAUAUCUAAAAAGGGAAGGAUACCAUUAUUCUCUUUUUCUACUGUAAAAUUAAUAUUCUAUGGUAACUGUUGUGUGCCUCUGUGUGGGUUUCUCAUUACCAGGCCACUACAUUCUCUUAGAAUUUAUUAGAACACUAACUUCUACAAUAUGGACUGACUGACUGACUGACUGACUGCUAACAACUUGUAGCGCUAUUUAUACAUGAAGUCAGAAAUGUGUAUGCAAAGAGGAUAUUUGCAUUUCUGCAAAUACACAACACCCUCCCCUCCUAAUAAUAUUGGAGACUGUCUGGUGGUCUCCUGGAUCUCUGGGGUCUGGGGCUCCGGCUUGAGAUUUUUCCUCUAGAAGCAGCAGCCAUUGGCUCCUGGUGUUCUCCAAUUGAUGUCAACUCCUGCCUGGUUGACUGCGGCUCCAAUUCAUUUGUGGUGAACUCUUCUUCCAGGAUCUCCAGGCCACCGUGAGAGGGUUCUCUCUCGCAAUGCGAUUCUCUUCGCAGCCCUUGUCUGGAUGUACUCGGCAGCACUAAGCUUGGCUCUUUCUCUACAGUAGCCUCUGGAUUUUCUUUGACAGGUCGCAGCUGAUUGAUGUGCCUCUUUAGGGAUUGGCCUUGAUACCCUAUUAGGUAAUGGCGGCAACUAAGGAGUUUUAGGAUGGUUCCAAUUUUCCACUUUGGUCCGGCUGCAUAGUUUCGGAAAUAAAGAUCGGAACCAAUUUUAAAAUGCUCCUGCUUUCUCAGAGCAUCAGGAAACCCCUCUCCCUUCAUGUCCAUUUUAGGCAUUAAAUUAGAAAAUCUAGGCUUUAAACGUCUCUUCAUCAAUAAUUCAGCUGGCGAUUCCUUUAGGACUGACUGUGGAAAUGCUCUAUGGGCAAACAAAAAUCUUUGUAGGUUUGUUUCCAAGUCAUCCUUUUCGUUGUUUUUUUUUUUUUAACAAUUUUUUGAAUUCGCGUACAUAACGCUCAGCUAACCCAUUAGUACUUGGAUUAUAUGGACUGGUUUUUGUGUGCCGAAUUCCAUUCAUUCUGGUGAAUUCCUCCAUUUCUCUCGAGACAAACUGUCUUCCAUUGUCUGUCACUAAGAAUUCCGGCAGUCCAAAUCUGGCAAACACUUGCCUUAGAUAAUCAACAAUGGUUUUACUGGUUAUAUCCCCCCGAGGAUAAAUAUUUCCAACCAUUUGGUAUAGGCAUCCACUAUCACCAUAAACAUUCUACCCAUAAAAGGGCCUGCCAAAUCCAGAUGUAGGCGAUGCCAAGGUUUCUCUGGCCAAGUCCAUUCUGUAAUAAUGGAAGGAGGCAUGUCUGCGAUUCUUGACAGAUGGUACACUGCCGAGCCAUAUCUUCUAUGCUCUUAUCUAUUCCUGGCCACCAAAAAUACCUCCUUGCUAUUAUCUUCAUUUUCACCAUUCCAAAAUGCAUCUCAUGUAGAUCUAUGAGAAUUUGAGAUCUUAAUUUUGGAGGAAUCACUAUCCGCUCUUUCCACUGAAGGCAUCCAAAGUCCACACUUAAUUCAUUCCUAACCUUGUAGUAAGGAGACAAAGGAUUUUCUUUCAUGAAUUUUGGUGAUUGCCAAGUGUCCUUCCAGACAUUUCUCAGAACAAUUGCAAGAGUCUUGUCUCUUUUAGUCUCGAAUGCCACAUCCUGGAAUGAAAAGGGAACCUCAUUCAUUUUUCUUAAGAACAAUAUCUGAUCAUCAUCAUAAGAUCCCCCCUCAUUGGCUUUUAACGGCAAACGUGAUAAAGCAUCGGCAUUUCCGUGGUCCUCCGUCUUUCUAAACUCCACCGAGUAAUGGAAAGAACCCAGCUUUAAUGACCAUCUCUUUAUCCUAGACGCUGCACAUACCGGAAUUGGUUUGUGUGGUGAAAACAGGUGCAUGAGUGGUCUGUUAUCAGUCACCAACACAAACGCGCGUCCCAAAAGAUAUUGCCUGAACUUCUCACAUCCGUAGAUAAUGCUCAAAGCCUCCUUCUCUAACUGGGAAUAAUGUUUCUCCGCCUCAGUUAGAGUUCGUGACGCAAAAGCUAUUGGACUUUCCUGCUUCUUGUAUCUGUGACUAAGUACCACGCCAAGUCCAUAGCUCGAGGCAUCGCAAGCCAAAACAAGUUCCUUAGCUGGGUCGUAAUGUGCCAACACUGAAUCAUCAGUCAAUAAUGAUUUACAUUUAUUUAACAAAACCCGAUGUUCAUUCGUCCAUUUCCAAGGGCAAUUUUUCUUCAGCAGUUUGUAAAACGGGGAUAAAAUAGACAAUGUAUCCUUGAUGAAUCUGGCAUAAUACAUUAGCAUGCCGAUAAAAGAACGUAACUGGCCAAUGUUCUUAGGCUCAAUAGCAUUAGACACUGCUUGUAUUUUAUUCAAUAUUGGAUGCAAUCCGUUCUUAUCGAUGCGAAAGCCUAAAUAUUCCACUGAAUCCACAGUGAAUUUGCAUUUUGCCUUAUUUAAUUUUAGGCCUUUUUCUUCUAAUCUUUUGAAUACUAGGUCCAAUUUGGACUUGUGAUCCCUUGCAUCUUUACCAGAUACUAAAAUAUCAUCUAUAUAUAACAAGCUACUCCCGGUAUAUCAGCAAAUACAUUGUCCAUCAACCUCUGGAAUUUAUUUGGUGCCACAGCCACACCAUAAGGAAGGCUCCGAUAAGCAAAUAACCCCUUGGUAGUGUUGGAGCUUGGAUCCUCACAGUAUUAGUUUGAAAUUCCGUGUAGCUCUUUAACCUUUGUUUUAGAUGUUGACGAUCUUUUGGCAGAGUUUAAUUCGGACUGUAUGUUUUCACCUCGAUCUGCGGAUUGACUACUGAGAGAUUAUCCUGUCUAAUUGCGAUGUAGUAACAAGAGAAUCACCACACAGCCUCACUGAUCUUAGCUGACACACUUUUAUUUUC
rnacentral:piRNA from 1 species